UACGUAGGGUCCGAGCGUUGUCCGGAAUUAUUGGGCGUAAAGAGCUCGUAGGCGGUUUGUCGCGUCUGCUGUGAAAACUCGGGGCUUAACUCCGGGCCUGCAGUGGGUACGGGCAGACUAGAGUGCGGUAGGGGAGACUGGAAUUCCUGGUGUAGCGGUGAAAUGCGCAGAUAUCAGGAGGAACACCGAUGGCGAAGGCAGCUCGCUGGGACGGUACUGACGCUGAGACGCGAAAGCGUGGGGAGCAAACGGG
rnacentral:rRNA from 1 species